AUUGAACGCUGGCGGCAUGCCUUACACAUGCAAGUCGAACGGCAGCGCGGGGGCAACCUGGCGGCGAGUGGCGAACGGGUGAGUAAUAUAUCGGAACGUGCCCGGUCGUGGGGGAUAACGUAGCGAAAGCUACGCUAAUACCGCAUACGAUCUACGGAUGAAAGCGGGGGAUCGCAAGACCUCGCGCGAUUGGAGCGGCCGAUAUCAGAUUAGGUAGUUGGUGAGGUAAAGGCUCACCAAGCCGACGAUCUGUAGCUGGUCUGAGAGGACGACCAGCCACACUGGGACUGAGACACGGCCCAGACUCCUACGGGAGGCAGCAGUGGGGAAUUUUGGACAAUGGGCGCAAGCCUGAUCCAGCAAUGCCGCGUGCAGGAUGAAGGCCUUCGGGUUGUAAACUGCUUUUGUACGGAACGAAACGGUGAGCUCUAAUACAGUUUGCUAAUGACGGUACCGUAAGAAUAAGCACCGGCUAACUACGUG
rnacentral:rRNA from 1 species